rnacentral:lncRNA from 1 species
GGCGCCGACGGGCCGCGCGGGGAGGAGCUGGCGGGGCCGCGCGGGCUCACUCACGGGCGGGCCGGGGCUCGUCGGGGCGCCCCCCGGGGCGGCGGCGGCGGCGGCGGCGGCGGCGGAGCGGGAGCCCGAGCCCGAGCCCGAGCGGCGCGGGCGGCGGCGCAUCGAUGCGCUGCGGGCUCGAUUGCGUCUCCCUGGGCCAGCUCCUGGGCCGGGAAUGGGGCGGCCGCGGCGGGGCUGGCUCGGGGCGCUGCCGGGCGGCGCUGGCGGGGCUGCGGGGGCGGCCGCCGGGCCGCGGUCCGGGGGGCGGGGGGGGCUGCUCCCGCGCGCUCCGGCGGGGCCGGGGGGGCUGCCCUGGACCCCGCGCCCCGCAGUCCCGGCGAGGGCCGGCCGGAGCCCCGCGCCCUGGGACUGGCUGCCGGCGCGCUCCCGGAGCUGCAAGCCCCGGCCUCCUUCCUUUUUCCUUUUUCCCCUUCCUUCCUCCUUCCUCCUCCCCCCCGUUUUUUUUCUUUUUUUUUUUUAGUUUCCUUUUCUUGCGUUUCUUUCCCCGUCUUCCUCGGCCCCCCUCGCCGUCCCUUUUCCUUUGUGGCUGUCUGUGCAAGUUUGUUUCAAAAGUUCACGGGCACCUUUCACGCUUUCUUUUCUUCUAGACCCGGGAGACCGCGGUCUCACCCAGACGGCAGGAUCGCUCGGCCCCGCUCGCCCCCACCCGCGGGCCUGCGCUCGGGCCACCCGCCUCCCGGUGCAGAUGCGCGGCGGCCGGCCUCCCGCCUCGGGCCGUAAGGGCGCGCGCAGGGGCGCUCGGAGCUGCGGGGUGCGGGGUGCGGGCCCCGCGCGGCGGCGGGGGAGGCGGAGGCGGCGGCGGGCUGCGGGGGGCGGCGGGGGGGGGGCGCGGCGAGCGGCGGCGGGAGCCGCUGCCCCCCUCCAGGCCCCGGAGACGCGGCCGCGGGGCGUGAAACGCUUCUUGCGAACGAGGAAACGACGGAGAAAGGGCAGGGCCGCGUGUCGGAGAAGCCGGAGCUUUGCGGGCAGCUCCCGGCGCCAUUCUCCAAGAAUGCUGACCUCCUCCGCCGGGGCUGCAGGUUCCCCUGCUUCUGCUUCUUGCUUUCCACCCCAGCCCCCUGCCCCACGGUCCGCAGGACACAGACCUUCCUAUCUGAGCUGCACGGCCGGGCCACAGGGUCUGCUUUGCGCUCCCCUGAGAAGUUCAGGGGAAGGGCGCACGGAAGGACCCGACUCCUCGCUCGGACCUCUGCGGGGUGGCAGGUUACCCGCCUCUGUUCCCACUGCAGAUAUCUGUGUCGGGGUGUCCGGGGAGUUCCGCCUCCCCGGAGCGGGUCAAACCCUGUGCUUGCCUUCGUUCCGCGAUUCGCGACUUAGGAGGGAUGAGCAGCCGCUUCCCGCGAGCGCGGGGAGGAGGAGGCCGAGCCGGCGGCGCACGGCGCUCCCGGGGGCUCCUGCUGCGGGAAGGCCGCCGCGCGCUCCGGGGUGCGGCCGAGCCGUGCGCCCCGGCGGCGGAGCUGCAAUUCUGCACGGGGCCCCCUCGGAGGAGGUGCGGACACCUCUGGAAAGCAUCGACAGGCUUCCCGCUCCCGCGCGAGCACCUGCUAACUUAGCCCAGCAAGGGAAGCGCCCUGGAAGCAGAGAAGCUGACUGCCUCCGCCUGCACACCCCACCGGGGACUGAGCCCCGGACCUCAGCCCCUGCCUAUGUGCUCAGGAUUUGGACCCUGGGGCCCUCACCAGGGGUUAAACUGUGUGCUAAGAGCGCAUUUACGCAUUUACACAGCAGCGAAAGUUUGUUUCUCUUUUUCCGGUAGCUUUGUUUUAAGGAACCAGAUGUUUUGUCUGUAAAUUCUCCCAAGAACUUUUACAGUUUUGACGUGAAAUAAACCUUUGAAAAUCGGAGCGGUAUAUUAAUGCCACUUCUGUGGGGCCUCGGGGUAGCCUCAUGGGGAGCCUGGGUGUGAGCUAGGGUGGAACUGCGUGCGGGUGGGGCAGCUCAAUCUUGGAAGAAAAGUAGGAGAGGGCUGUCUGCCAAGGUCAAGACUUGGUGUUGGGGUGUGAAGCCCCUCCCCCCAGCACACACAGGGAUACACCUGCCCCCACCCUUCCCCACCUGGGCUUUACUACUUUGUAAAUUUUUUGGAGCUGGUUGCACAGAGGUCUGGCCCAGUUUUGCCGACUGUGCUCGGCAUGCCCUCCACUCCCAGGAGGUCGGACCACUGGACUCAGGCCUGUGAUCUUCCCUGGCCAGGUAUGAUGUCCCUAGUCUUUGGGGGAGGGGCAGAGCAAGGGGGCCCCAGGGGGCCCCUGAACUCCCAGGGCAGCUGCACGGAGAAAACUGGGUGGAAGCCGAUCCUCCUCUUCAAUGCCUCAUUUUUAUGGACUCGGACUUUCCAGGCGGUUAUAAACGCAUUAAAACUAAAAGAAAACUAUCCCCCU